rnacentral:rRNA from 1 species
GAUGAACGCUGGCGGCGUGCCUAAUACAUGCAAGUCGAGCGAACAGACGAGGAGCUUUCUCCUCUGACGUUAGCGGCGGACGGGUGAGUAACACGUGGAUAACCUACCUAUAAGACUGGGAUAACUUCGCGAAACCUGAGCUAAUACCGGAUAAUAUAUUGCACCUCAUGGUUCACUCGUGAAAGUCGGUUUUGCUGUCACUUAUAGAUGGAUCCGCGCCGCAUUAGCUAGUUGGUAAGGGAACGGCUUACCAAGGCGACGAGGGGUAGCCGACCUGAGAGGGUGAUCGGCCACCCUGGAACUGAGACACGGUCCAGACUCCUACGGGAGGACGCAGUAGGGACUCCUACGCAAUGGGGGAAAGCCUGACGGAGCAAAGCGGCGUGAGUGAUGAAGGUCUUCGGAUCGGAAAACUCUGUUAUUAGGGAAGAACAAAUGUGCAAGCAACUAUGAACGUCUUGACGGUACCCAAUCAGAAAGCCACGGCUAACUACGUG